GCAGUCGAACGGGAAAUAUUUCAUUGAGACUUCGGUGGAUUUGAUCUAUUUCUAGUGGCGGACGGGUGAGUAACGCGUGGGUAACCUGCCUUAUACAGGGGGAUAACAGUCAGAAAUGGCUGCUAAUACCGCAUAAGCGCACAGAGCUGCAUGGCUCAGUGUGAAAAACUCCGGUGGUAUAAGAUGGACCCGCGUUGGAUUAGCUAGUUGGUGGGGUAACGGCCCACCAAGGCGACGAUCCAUAGCCGGCCUGAGAGGGUGAACGGCCACAUUGGGACUGAGACACGGCCCAGACUCCUACGGGAGGCAGCAGUGGGGAAUAUUGCACAAUGGGGGAAACCCUGAUGCAGCGACGCCGCGUGAAGGAAGAAGUAUCUCGGUAUGUAAACUUCUAUCAGCAGGGAAGAUAGUGACGGUACCUGACUAAGAAGCCCCGGCUAACUACGUGCCAGCAGCCGCGGUAAUACGUAGGGGGCAAGCGUUAUCCGGAUUUACUGGGUGUAAAGGGAGCGUAGACGGUGUGGCAAGUCUG
rnacentral:rRNA from 1 species